rnacentral:rRNA from 1 species
GCAAGUCGAACGGUAACAGAACUAGCUUGCUAGUUGCUGACGAGUGGCGGACGGGUGCGUAACGCGUGGGAAUCUACCUUAUAGUUGGGGAUAGCCCGGAGAAAUCCGGAUUAAUACCGAAUAAGCCCUACGGGGGAAAAGGGGCCUCUCCUUGGAAGCUCUUGCUAUUAGAUGAGCCCGCGUAAGAUUAGCUUGUUGGUGGGGUAAUGGCCCACCAAGGCAACGACGGGUAGCUGGUCUGAGAGGAUGAUC